AGGAAAUGCGGAUGGAAGAGGAAAGAAUUGAAGCUGAGAAAAAGCGGGUAAAAGAAGAGGCACAGCAGCUUGCUCUUAUUUUUGAAACUGUUGGAGCUUUCAAGGUGAAGCGCAAAGGUGGAAAGGGCAAACAAAUAUUUGGAAGUGUAACUCCUCAAGAUCUUGUUGACGUCAUCAAGGCACAGCUUCAGAGGGACGUGGACAAACGAAUUGUUUCUCUUCCAGAAAUCAGGGAAACAGGAGAAUAUAUUGCUGAGCUUAAGCUUCAUCCUGAAGUUACUGCUCGGGUGAGGUUGAAUGUUUAUGCUAACUAAGGAAUAGGAUCUUUUGGAAGCACACUCUCUGAAUGAAUGAUUGGUGUGAGCAACUUGCAUCAUUGUCAGGAG
rnacentral:misc_RNA from 1 species